GAUCAACAUAAAACAAUUUAUUCUAAUUUGAAAUCUAAAUACCGAAAUCAGAAAGAAUAAUAAAAAAAAAAAAAGCUCUGCAUUUCUCCGCAAUAGAAAGAGAAGGAAUUUAAAGAAAAAAACAAGAAAGUCUGAAACUGAAACCGAGUCCACAGCUCUUAAUCACUUUGUUUGCUUCUCUAAUCGCGGUAUAACUAUGUGAUUUGAAGGCAGCAGCAGAUCAAUUGCAGGCAGAUAUGAGGUGUAGCUGUUUUGGUGCUAAAGGGAGAGCUGACGGUGCUCAUCGUGCUACAGAUGGGAAUUCAAUUCGUGACAUCAACCAUUUCUCUUAUAAUGAGUUGAGAUCAGCAACAGAUGACUUUCAUUCAACCAAUAAGAUUGGACGAGGAGGCUUUGGAACUGUUUACAAGGGAACCCUCAAAAGUGGAAGGCAAGUGGCUGUAAAGACACUUUCUGCUCAAUCAAAGCAAGGAGUGCGUGAGUUUUUGAAUGAGAUCACUAUAAUAUCAAAAGUUAGGCAUCCAAACCUUGU
rnacentral:misc_RNA from 1 species